rnacentral:rRNA from 1 species
CAGCCGCCGCGGUAAUACGAAGGGUGCAAGCGUUACUCGGAAUUACUGGGCGUAAAGCGUGCGUAGGUGGUGGUUUAAGUCCGUUGUGAAAGCCCUGGGCUCAACCUGGGAAUUGCAGUGGAUACUGGGUCACUAGAGUGUGGUAGAGGAUAGUGGAAUCUCCGGUGUAGCAGUGAAAUGCGUAGAGAUCGGAAGGAACAUCUGUGGCGAAGGCGGCCCCCUGGACAAAGACUGACGCUCAGGUGCGAAAGCGUGGGGAGCAAACAGGAUUAGAUACCCCCGUAGUCCCUGUCUCUUAUAC